CUUGGUCUCCGGACGACCGCCGGCGGCUUCGGCCGCGGGAGGAAAGUCCGGGCUCCCCAGGGCAGGGUGGUGGGUAACGCCCACCGUCCGCAAGGACAGGGAAAGUGCCACAGAGAACAAACCGCCGGACGGUCCGCGCAAGCGGGCGACGGCAAGGGUGAAACGGCGAGGUAAGAGCUCACCGCGGUCCGGGCGACCGGAACGGCACGGCAAACCCCACCCGGAGGAAGACCGAAUAGGAGGAUCGCGCGGCCCGCGCUGUGGUCCUCGGGUAGGUCGUUGGCGGCCGUCCGCGAGGACGGCCCUAGAGAAAUGGUCGUCACCGCCGACGAGGCGGCACCAGAACCCGGCUUACGGAGACCAAGCACU
rnacentral:RNase_P_RNA from 1 species